rnacentral:rRNA from 1 species
CUUCAGCGACCUGAGGUGACUAUGUACAUUCUGGUCUAUGUUGAUGACAUCAUACUUGUCAGUUCGUCCGUCACUGCUGCAGAUCGACUUGUGGCUUCUCUAGGGGCUAUUUUUGUUGUUAAGGAUCUUGGGAGACUGCACUAUUUUUUGGGCCUGGAGGUUCUUCAUUCUGACAGUGGCUUGACUCUCACUCAGCAGAAGUACUCUCAGGAUUUGUUACGACGUGCGGGUAUGAUGCAGUGUAAAACUGCUACGACUCCUAUGUCCUCCACAGACAAAUUGUCAGCUUUUGAUGGGGACUUGCUCUCCUCUGAGGAUGCCACUGAGUACCGCAACAUCGUUGGUGGACUGCAAUACUUGCUCGUCACUCGACCGGAUAUAUCAUUCGCAGUUAACCGUGUGUGUCAGUACCUUCAUGCACCGCGUGGUCCUCAUUGGACGGCGGUUAAGCGCAUUCUGCGCUAUGUUCGACACACUGUUUCAUAUGGU